ACGGGUGAGUAAUAUAUCGGAACGUACCCUGGAGUGGGGGAUAACGUAGCGAAAGUUACGCUAAUACCGCAUACGAUCUAAGGAUGAAAGUGGGGGAUCGCAAGACCUCAUGCUCCUGGAGCGGCCGAUAUCUGAUUAGCUAGUUGGUAGGGUAAAAGCCUACCAAGGCAUCGAUCAGUAGCUGGUCUGAGAGGACGACCAGCCACACUGGAACUGAGACACGGUCCAGACUCCUACGGGAGGCAGCAGUGGGGAAUUUUGGACAAUGGGCGCAAGCCUGAUCCAGCAAUGCCGCGUGAGUGAAGAAGGCCUUCGGGUUGUAAAGCUCUUUUGUCAGGGAAGAAACGGGUCCUUCUAAUACAGGGGCCUAAUGACGGUACCUGAAGAAUAAGCACCGGCUAACUACGUGCCAGCAGCCGCGGUAAUACGUAGGGUGCAAGCGUUAAUCGGAAUUACUGGGCGUAAAGCGUGCGCAGGCGGUUUUGUAAGUCUGUUGUGAAAUCCCCGGGCUCAACCUGGGAAUGGCAAUGGAGACUGCAAGGCUAGAGUUUGGCAGAGGGGGGUAGAAUUCCACGUGUAGCAGUG
rnacentral:rRNA from 1 species